rnacentral:rRNA from 1 species
GACGAACGCUGGCGGCGUGCCUAAUACAUGCAAGUCGAGCGGACGUUUUUGAAGCUUGCUUCAAAAACGUUAGCGGCGGACGGGUGAGUAACACGUGGGCAACCUACCUUAUCGACUGGGAUAACUCCGGGAAACCGGGGCUAAUACCGGAUAACAUCUAGCACCUCCUGGUGCCGGAUUAAAAGAGGGCUUCUUGCUCUCACGAUGAGAUGGGCCCGCGGCGCAUUAGAUAGUUGGAGAGGUAACGGCUCCCCAAGGCGACGAUGCGUAGCCGACCUGAGAGGGUGAUCGGCCACACUGGGACUGAGACACGGCCCAGACUCCUACGGGAGGCAGCAGUAGGGAAUCUUCCGCAAUGGACGAAAGUCUGACGGAGCAACGCCGCGUGAGUGAUGAAGGGUUUCGGCUCGUAAAGCUCUGUUAUGAGGGAAGAACACGUACCGUUCGAAUAGGGCGGUACCUUGACGGUACCUCAUCAGAAAGCCACGGCUAACUACGUGCCAGCAGCCGCGGUAAAAC